rnacentral:lncRNA from 1 species
CUCCCCUCCCCCUCCUCAGAAAGCCUCCUUAGGGGCUCAAUCCAUUUCUUCUGUCAGGAGAUGGAGGCACAGGGAGAGAAAGAAGUGGGAGAGGAGGAUGCUGGAGAGGCAGGGAGGUGGCACAAACGAAGGCAGAGGGUCCCAUCACUGACUUUCAAUCAACACAGUGCUGCUUCUGUUCACAAAGAUAUUCUUGAUUUGAUCCAUAGAACAGGAUCUGUCAACACUCCUACUACUUGCAAAGAGCUGGAGAAGAGCUUUUGCCGUUACUCCCUCACCGUGGCAGAAGUGACUUACCUGAUGGAUGACAUUAAAAGAAUUGGCCUUUUCUCUGGCUUACCAGCAUGGAGGCAGCCUAUUUUUUCCCGCCUACCUCUCCUUCUAGGUGCUCCACAAGCUACAUUAGGUGCUGGAAAUGGACCAGAUGCUGGAGAUGGAAAGCAUCCCUGUCUUGAAGAGCUCACAUUGGUCAUCAAUGCCUAAAGAAAAAAGAUCCAUAAUGAUCCCCACCAGAUUAUUGAUGACAGAGACCUCUGGAGAUGGGAGUGGAGGUGGUUUCUCUGCUCUCUCAUUUUGCCUGAAGGCCUGUUAUAAGCUAUAGGCCAGAAACUAGGUCUUCUGAAAUUAACAACAGAGAAGAAGAGCCUCCGAGCCCUGGGAGGAAGGACUGUAUCAGAUACUCUAAUUAUUGAUACUGCAAGAAAUACACUCACGGCUGCAGGUUUCCCAGAGAAGCUAAUCUUACCACUGUGGGUGGAGACCUGUCAGACUGUACCUGGGGCAUCGUUCGGAACUUCCAGGACUCCUGUAACCCAGCAGUAGAAGACUUUGUGAAAGCAGACAGCUGAUCCAAGCAUUGAAUGAGAGCUCCAGUCCUGCCACAUCCUCACCGAGACUUUGCAUGCUGAAGCCAAAGCAGUGCUGAGAGAACGUUUUAUAGCUCAAAUGUUUAUAUUAGAAAAAGAAAGUUCUAAAAUCAAUAUUCUACACUUACAGCAGAAGAUGCUAGAAAAAGAAGAGCAAAUUAAACCCAAAGCAAGCAGACAGAAGGAAUUAAUAAAGAAAAGAGGAGAAAUCAGUGAAAUAAAAAAUAGAAAUAUAGUAGAAAAAAUCAGUGAAGC